rnacentral:rRNA from 1 species
UGGGGGAUAUUGCACAAUGGGCGCAAGCCUGAUGCAGCGACGCCGCGUGGGGGAUGAAGGCCUUCGGGUUGUAAACUUCUUUUGCUCUGAACAAGGCGCACUUUGGGGUGUGUUGAGUGUAGGGGUUGAUUAGCGCCGGCUAACUACGUGCCAGCAGCCGCGGUAAUACGUAGGGCGCGAGCGUUGUCCGGAAUUAUUGGGCGUAAAGAGCUUGUAGGUGGCUGGUUGCGUCUGUCGUGAAAGCUCAUGGCUUAACUGUGGGUUUGCGGUGGGUCCGGGCUGGCUGGAGUGCAGUAGGGGAGGCUGGAAUUCCUGGGGUAUCGGUGGAAUGCGCGGAUAUCAGGAGGAAUACCGGUGGCGAAGGCGGGUCUCUGGGCUGUUACUGACACUGAGGGACGAAAGAAUGGGAGCGAACAGG